rnacentral:lncRNA from 1 species
AGACACGGUCAUACUAGGACUGAUUCCAUAGUAUACCAUCUCUGGUCAUUUACCUCUGCCGAACAACAACCUUCCCUUUCCACAGUCGAUCUGAACUCCGUAGCUCGAUAACCAAUCCAUUCCAAGGAUUACCUCGUACCCUUUCAAAGGCACGACUAACAGAUCUGCCACAAACUCUUUGCCUUGAAUGACCAAUGGAACAUUCUUUAUACACUGAUUUGCGUGAAGGGUUCGGUCUGCGGGGGUCAAAACGGCCACGUCUAUCCUGUCAACCACAAAACAAUCCCAAAACCGGGC